AAAACGACUCUCGGCAACGGAUAUCUCGGCUCUCGCAUCGAUGAAGAACGUAGCAAACUGCGAUACUUGGUGUGAAUUGCAGAAUCCCGUGAAUCAUCGAGUCUUUGAACGCAAGUUGCGCCCGAAGCCGUCAGGCCGAGGGCACGUCUGCCUGGGCGUCACGA
rnacentral:rRNA from 20 species